UUUAAAUAUUUUUCUGGCAGGAGGUGAAAUCAAGGUUACUUUGGUUUAGGACUUUGAUAUAACGUUUAUAAGUAGUUUAGUCAGUGAGACUGGUAAGAACUAACACUGGGAAUGGGGUGUAUUUAGUACUAAAUCUGACUCAACGCCCUAUGCAUUAAAAACCUUAACCUGUGCUCAAAGUUAAAUUACUAUUUGCCUGAGAAUCGGCCACUGAGAGUUGAGUCCCAAAUUUUGUCCUGUAUAUUUUUUGCUGAAACUUUGAUAACCACUAACUCAUCAUAUGAACAUUAGGUAUUUUUUUUACUCGUACACCAGUCUCGAGAUGGCUUUACUUACCCUUCUCAUCUGAUAGAGCUUUUCAUCCUGAGCAAUUUGAACCCCAUAUAUACCCACCGCAAAUUAUUUAUCAUGUUGACAGUGAUUUUUAAAGAUUUACCUAUUUCAGGCAAACGCCCAUUGAGCAGCCGCAACAUACCCUCAGGUGUAUUGUCUGGGUGGUAACUGACAGUGAUUUAUUAAAGAUUUAUCUACUUGGGGCAAUGUAGGUUACUAUCGAGUGGCUAGGUUACUAUCGAGUGGCUAGGUUACUAUCGAGUGGCUAGGUUACUAUCGAGUGGCUAGGUUACUAUCGAGUGGCUAGGUUACUAUCGAGUGGCUAGGUUACUAUCGAGUGGCUAGGUUACUAUCGAGUGGCUAGGUUACUAUCGAGUGGCUAGGUUACUAUCGAGUGGCUAGGUUACUAUCGAGUGGCUAGGUUACUAUCGAGUGGCUAGGUUACUAUUGAGUGGCUAGGUUACUAUCGAGUGGCUAGGUUACUAUCGAGUGGCUAGGUUACUAUCGAGUGGCUAGGUUACGAUCCAAGGGCUUAAUGAUCUUUAGUUUCGUUUCCAGUAGGAAAUUCCUAUGGCUGCGUGUACUGUGAGUGUGUGCCGCUGCUGCUUCUCAUUUGUGAGGACGAAACUAUUUUUUCCUGGUAGAUUUCUGUCUAUUUAAGGGUUUUUAGUGAUUAGGCUAUGAAGUGUAGACUAACUCAACAAGAUUACCACUAGGACAACAACGUACAACAAUUAAUUACAAUUAAUUACCAUUGUUAUUCAUCCAGGUCUCACAAAAUUACACGCAGUAUUGUUGAACGUGGAAUUGGACAACUCAAACGCCGAUUUCAUGUUUUGCAUGGUGAGGUACGAUUGAGGCCCCCUCAAGGUGUGCAAAAUCAUUCAUGUGUGUGGAAUGCUGCACAAUAUUUGCAAGGAUAGGAAUCUUCCUCUUCCUCUGGAUGACGAGCAACCAAUGGGUGCAGAGGCACAAGUCCCAGUGCCAUUAAAUGAUGCUGCAGAAGAACCUGCCAAUGCGCCAGUGGUCACCGUAAUGAGGGUCGUGCCUAUCGGGAUGCAUUCUGCACCUUGCAUUUCAACAAUGAGGACUGAUGGAACGUCCUCCAACAGGGCCUCGUGUACCUACCUUGGUAAUGUUUCCUACCUUUUAAUGCAUUAUGAUAAAUUUAAAUUCCCAUUAGCAUAGUCUCUCAUCUCCUAACCACAAUUUCUGAUGACCUUCUUAUGAUUGUUUUCUAAAAAGGAGACUAGAAAGCUUCACCAUAGUAUAUCUUUCCACAGUCAAAAUUCUAAUUGUAUAGUCAGAAACUAUGCAAAAAAAAGCAGUGUCAGUAUAAGUACAAAUUACAAUACAUAUGAGAACUAAGCUUAUAAUAGUUUAAUAAUGUUAGAAAUAACAGAAGUAGUAUUUGGUUGUAUGUUUAAUUAUUUUCUAGUUUAAAUUUAUAGUAUCUAGCUUUAAGCCUCAUGGCCUCAAUUUUCUCCUUGGCAGCCUGUUCCUUGGCCCUCGCAGCGGACUCCUUGGCCCUCGCAGCGGACUCCUGUGCUCGGGCAGCUGCCUCUUGGGCCCGUGCAGCGGAUGCCACUGCCUG